CAAAAAACACAUACAAACGCCACAACAACUACAUAUUCAAAAAACACAUACAAACGCCACAACAACUACAUAUUCAAAAAACACAUACAAACGCCACAACAACUACAUAUUCAAAAAACACAUACAAACGCCACAACAACUACAUAUUCAAAAAACACAUACAAACGCCACAACAACUACAUAUUCAAAAAACACAUACAAACGCCACAACAACUACAUAUUCAAAAAACACAUACAAACGCCACAACAACUACAUAUUCAAAAAACACAUACAAACGCCACAACAACUACAUAUUCAAAAAACACAUACAAACGCCACAACAACUACAUAUUCAAAAAACACAUACAAACGCCACAACAACUACAUAUUCAGAAAACAACUUCGUCGAUUUCACAUCACGUACGCUGCAAAUAUUCACAGCACGAGCAAAUAGGGAAACGAACUGCAAACUGCAAAGACACAACGGAAAUGUUUCCGGGGGGGCCAUAAUCAGUGACGGACCCGCAUCCAUCCGGUUGUCUUCGCGCUAUCUGAAUGUGCGCUUUUGUUGUUUAUGGCUACAAGAGAUUGAAAUGUUCUGUCCGUUUUGUGCUGUGCAACUGGGGGACGCUCCCAAGUUUUGCCCGUCGUGUGGUCUGAACGUGGGGUUCCUUACGGAGCGUCCAUCCACGUCAUCAAGCGUAGGCCAUGGGCCUACAGUGAAUGAGACAAGUAUCCAAGGAAGAGCAGCUCAAUUCAUGAGGUUCAGGGAAGUUAAAGAGGCUGAGAGGAGGACCUUUUCAAAGGCUAAAAAGAAACCAAACAUUACGGUCAAGAUUUCAAUUGGCAUAAUGACCAGAACAAAAUAUGGGUUAAAACCUAUAAGAGGGAAAACCUUGCCAUUAAAUGUUGAACCCCUGUGGUCAUCAAAACAAAUUUUGCCAGCUGCUAUAAAAAAACAGCGAGAUUUUAAUCAAGACACAAUGUACGAUGGAGAAUAUGUCCUGGUCUAUCCUGAUGGCUCUCAGGUACAAAAUAUACCAGGCACAGACAGACCCUUUGUCCUUGAACAUUAUAAAGAGGCCAUUGGAAAGGCUUACCAGAGGAUCGUACUGUACAUCUGCCCCCUUCAGGAUUUGAGUAAGUAUCGAAGUACAUGUAUGUAAAAUAAUAAUAAUAAUUGCUAAUGGUUGGUUAUUGAGUGAGUCCUUAAUUUAAUUCGAGCUGGUUGAAAAAUUGCCAUAUAUUUUGCAUAUACCUAGCCUAAUAAUGAUGCAUCGUUUUCUCUUUUCCAAGGUCAUGGAGAUGACUCAUCUUCAGAAUCCGACGAUGAAGCAUUUGCUAGGCUUCCAAUGAAAAUGUAAGUUUCUCCCGCCAUUUUGAGACCUGUGCUAGCGAUUUUUGAAUAUCCACAUAUUUCACAGCAUUCUUUUUUUUUUAUUAUUAUUGCUAUAAGGAAUAGAUCGAGCAUGUUGUGCUCUUUAAAUCAUAUUAACAAUUACUUAUAUUAUGAUUUAAAUUAAAUGAUUCAAAUUAUUUGUUUGUUUUAGUUUACCAAAACAAUGUCCACCAACAAUGUCCAGGCCAUCUGAUGGGCAAGUAUGUAUUAUUCUGUAAUGUUAUUAAGUUUAUGUUAAUGAUGUGGUGAUGUAAUUAUUGUUCAUUUGUUUGGUGUUAUCUCUACUUUCAUCAACAGGCCAACGGAGCAGGAGCAGAACCCAAAAACACCACAUCAUGUGACUUCUACAAGUAAGUCACAAUGGAUUAAAAUUGUUCUCUUCAUUGCAGUAAUACUUUUGGCUCUAUCGACUGCUGAAUGUAAUGGAUUACAGUACCAAGUAUAACACCUUUUUUACUGUAAUUUCACAACCAUCUUGUUUUAGUAUUUCAUUGUUCCUUUAAUCCACAGCACAUAUACCAAGAUCUAUGCCCCAGUUGUCAUUGACAGCAGUUGCUCUGAUGUUGAGGACGUAGAGAAUUUUCAGGAGGAAGACAGGUACUUUGAUAGAAAUAAUGCUGUCAACCUUUUUUCUUCUUUCCCUCUAAUGACAUAUUAAAUAGUUCAAGCUACAUUAGGCAUUUAUUUACCUGGUUUCUGUUGCCAUACAAUUAUUAAAGUAAAUAUUUAAAUUGUAUAUAUUUUUUUACUUACCCCUUAACAGAAAAAAAUCUGGCAGAAAUUAUUGAAAGCUUGCAAUGUGUGCUUCAUGCUUAUGCCCAUCACAUUUCAUCACACUCAUAUGGUGUUCUCACUGUAAUGGGCCCAUAAAAGAUUUAUAUUUUAAUUAUCCGCAUCAAAGGCAGUGUUAAUGUUUUUCUUUCUUGUGUUGCAGAGACACAGAUAUUGGACUGACGGCUGCAGACAUUCUGUCAAAUCUAGCAUUUAACAUAAACACAAAAAGCUGUAGCAGGUUUAAUAUAAACCGUUCUAAUGUCUGGGAUGGUGCUCUGAGGGGAUUCAAACGUUCCUCAUUUGACCCCACCUGUAGCCUUUUGGUCAAAUUCACUGAUGACAUCGGGCAAACAGAGGAGGCUGUGGACACAGGAGGGCCUACGCGGGAAUUUCUGACACUCUUGAUGGACGCCAUUAAAACCAGUAGAUUUUUUGAAGGCAAAGAUGAUGGCAAAUACCUGUCAUUUGAUAGCAAAGGUAAUUCGCUUUUUGUCACAUUUUGACAGUAUUAUAAAUCAAUUUGAACUAACCGUGGAACAUUGCCAUUGUUAGCUGCAGAAGGUGAUGAGUAUUUCCAUGUUGGAAGAAUGGUUGCGGUCUCCAUUGUACAUGGUGGUCCAGGGCCUCGAUGCUUUUCCCCAAGCUUCUACCAGUACCUGGUUGGUAAAGUGAAGACCAUUGAGGCCCCAAUUGAGGAUAUACCUGAUACUGAAGUCAGGAAUGUUCUCCUUGAGGUAAUUGUGUUUCUAAGCAUAUUCAAGAAAAAAUUAUUUUUUAUAUUUUGAUGAACAAUCAACAAUAUGGACACCCCAGUAGCUUGAAAAGGUAGUGUGAUACUGGAAUAAAGCCAGUGACUUCCAUGCUUUGUCA
ensembl:lncRNA